UGGUGGAGUGAUUUGUCUGGUUAAUUCCGAUAACGAACGAGACCUUAACCUGCUAAAUAGUCACAUUAAUCUUUCAUGAUUGAUGAUUUUGACUUCUUAGAGGGACUAUUGAUGUUUAAUCAAUGGAAGUUUGAGGCAAUAACA
rnacentral:rRNA from 1 species